ensembl:lncRNA
CUGACUGCCAGGAGCUUUAAACACACUUCUUCACAGAAAUGCAUGCCAACACAUCUCUUUUAAACUGUUCUCCUCGUCUCCCAGGUGCCCUUCCUAAAAGAAAAGAUGGUCAUAUCUUUCUAUUCCCUUUUAAAAAUGGCGUUUCAUGACCCAGUUCUGGUGUCUGUAUGUACAGCUUGAGAAGGAGGCUUAAGUAGCUGAUAGGGUUCAAGUGGCCUUCUCAUGGUCCUGUCUGUUUGUUAAUCUGUGUUCACAGGUCUCAGGGGAGAUUUAUAGUGGACAGAAAGUUCUGUUAAUUUUUGGGUUGAAAUAGGCAAUUGAGAAGUUGGUGUAUUAGAUCAUAUUCAUCUUAAUAACAUCAGUCUGCUGGGGGUGCAGACAGCCUUUGUGGCUUCCCAUGAGGAAGGAAGACUUAAGCCAUGACUACCUGGAAUGGAAUGCACUCUUUUAAUGAAUAUGCUUCCUUUGUUCAGGUCCUGAGGUUGGAUUUCUGUUCCAUAGGCUCCGGUUCUUUGAUUAGAUUCACAAGGUCUGUUCUGCCGUACACUUCACUAUGAGUCACCAGAAAUGGGACAUGAAAGUGCUUAAGAAAAAAUUGAAGCCAAGUGACUUAAUCGGUGAUUGAAAUGAGAAACUGAAAAUACACAUUUAGGAAAAAUAAAGUCCCUUUGCAAUUCUGUUCCUUCCUGUCCUCUGUUGUCUGCACAGAAAAACUCCUUGUUAGCCCUCUUGGUAAAAGAGAGAUGGUGCAUCAGGCUGUUUUGAUCACUUGUUUGAACUGGGAAUUCUUUGAGAUGUCACCCACAAGUGCUCUGCAGCCCAUCAUUUUCUGCAGACUGUGUGCAUUUUGUGAUUAUGGCUGUGAGGAGAAACUGUGAGGAUGCUAUGGCCAUGCCAGGGAAGGACAUGUCCUUUGAGGAAGGAACCUCAGGCUAAGUUCAUCAUCCCUGUGCACGCAGAGUUGGUUUGUUUGUUUUAUUUUGCAAAGAAAUUCUUUCCUCCCACUUCAUUUUUAGCUCUCUAUUUACAGGGGUGCAGAUGUGCUGGAGAAGUGUAUUUCAGUUCUCUUCAUAUGUAUAAGCACACACACUUGCAAGCAGUCUUCUAUUUUCAUUCUCUUGUUACGCAUGGGUUUAAAAUUAGUUGUAUUUGUGAACUAAUAUAGUUCAUUGGAAUAAAUUUCAGCUAUUUUUACUCUGUAAUGAGCUUUAUCACCAUGCUCACAAACACUAUUUUUCCUCUAUAGCCUGUUAACAGUGUAAAAUAUUCAUAGUCUUGAUGAUGUGAAAUCUGGCUGAGAGAAAAAAUGGUGUGUGGUAAAUUUAACUGAGGUUCUCUGCUGAUACAUGGUGUAAUACAGUGCCACCAAAGAGGAAAAAUACCUAGAUUUUGAUUGUACCUCGAGACAGGCACUUCAAGAGGUGGGAUUAAAAAAGCCAGCAUUGCUAGUGUUGUAUUAUGGUGUCACAUUCUGAGUUUUUAUACACCUGCAAUUCUGCUUCCCAGGAGUGUGAAGCUGAAGCUUCACUAGAACACUGUGCAUGUCAAGAUGAGGCUCUGCCUUGGGAUGCCAGGAAGAUGGGUGGAGCAUCCUGAGGUCUGUGUGCCUCUGAUUACCACUGUGCUAAAGAGCAAGGCUGGAUUUAGUGCGCAGGAUUUCUACCCAAAACUUGAGUACUGCCUCAUUUUGGUUGCAUAUAGAAUAAAAAAUUUCCUUUGCUUCACAGUAUUUAUAGGAAGGCUUAAUUUCCUUAAUUGCAGUUUCACUGCAGUUUAUAAAGAAAAUACAGCAUGAAGAGUCAUUGUUUUUGUGAUCUGUAUAUCAUGCAUUAGUCGAGGGAGAGUGAGCUUCAAGGUUAGUUGCAUGGCAGUUGUCAUCAGUCUGUGAAACUCUUAUUUUGAGUGACAGCUUUAAUUUGCACUUUAACCCUACUGUUGGCUUUCACUUAAUCUUAUUCCGUGUUCCUGAUCAGUCUAGUAUUUUCUUUUUUGUGGAAGACCAUUAUAGUCUCUUUUCAUAAUUAUAAUUUAAAGGGGGAAUAGGGAAACAUACCUCUGGAGGCCUCUCUUAUUUUCUUAAUAAGCUUUCUGCUUCCCCUGAUUGUUCUGAAUUACAUGUGAAAUACUUAGUUUCUUAUCAAUCAGUCUUUCAGAAGUUGAUUCUGAAAACCUUGUAGACUAUUCUUGUGGAAUUGACAGAAAGAAAAAAGGCUGUAAUAUGUUUUAAAUAUAUUGUUUUCAUUUUCAUUGACUGUUUCUCCUCUUAAAAGAUAGAAGUGCUCAUUUUCUCUUCCAUAUAAUAUUCAUUAUUGCCUGUGUUCAGAGCUAAGUGCUUUUCUAUUAAUCUCUUCUGUAAAUACUACUUUAGCAUUUUGCUUGAGAAGAGCCUUCACAGCCUAUAAUCAUAUUUAUUGCCUCUCCUUUCUCUCUUGUACUUUUCCCUGUGAUUCUAAACUGUUUUCUGGGGCCAUCAAACACAGCAUUCCUGUUGAUGGGACCACACGACUAAUUUUCAAAUUUCAUUGUAUUUCCUGUUUUGUUUUGUGUUUGUUGGAUUGUUUUUUGCUUUUCCUUAUGCUUUGGAACAGUCUGUUUCAAAUAAUGUUUGCUUCUUGACAGCAACUGAGCUGUCCACAGUGAUGCUCUGGUCUUUCUUCUGCAACCUGUACACCAAACUUGUAUGAGCAAUUCACAAGGUUUCUUCUAGUGUCCAUUACUGUGUACUUUUCAACAAAGACUUCCAGC